CUCUGUGACUCCUACGGGAGGCAGCAGUGGGGGAAUAUUGUCACAAUGGGCGCAAGCCUGAUGCAGCAACGCCGUGUGAGUGAAGAAGGUUUUCGGAUCGUAAAACUCUGUCCUAAGGGAAGAAACAAAUGACGGUACCUUAGGAGGAAGCCCCGGCUAACUACGUGCCAGCAGCCGCGGUAAUACGUAGGGGGCAAGCGUUAUCCGGAAUCACUGGGCGUAAAGGGUGCGUAGGCGGCUUAGCAAGCCAGGGGUGAAAGGCAUUGGCUCAACCAAUGUAAGCCUUUGGAACUGUUAAGCUUGAGUGCAGGAGAGGUAAGUGGAAUUCCUAGUGUAGAGGUGAAAUUCGUAGAUAUUAGGAGGAACACCAGUGGCGAAGGCGACUUACUGGACUGUAACUGACGCUGAUGCACGAAAGCGUGGGUAGCGAACAGGAUUAGAUACCCUGGUAG
rnacentral:rRNA from 1 species